UCGAAAAUAUCACAGAGCUAUAUAACUUGUUAUGAGCUCCUCGUCAACUAUGAUGUUUUAUUGAUUCUGGUUUUCCUCGUGUUCUAAGUUGUUGGACACUCAAGGACACCGACAACUGAAUCAAGUAUGCAUUACGAUUCAACAACUCUUUGUAAUAUUCUUUGCUUAGGAGUUUGUACACAAUCAUGUCCUUCCAAGUUGUUAGGCUACAUCAUCUUCGUCAUGCUAGAGCUUGACCAUGCUAUCUCCGUCCUUCAUCCCUAGAACACAUUUCCAACUGUGCGUUAAGCUUACAUCAAGCUUCCAAAGUCAUGUUUGUUGUCUCGAAAGGCAAUUUUGAUUCUGAGCUGGCAAUCUUAUCUGUGGCUCCGACAACCUUAGGCUUCAGCAUUCCUUUGCUUGAUGUCGUCGCUGAUCGAUUACAUCUUCAUGAAAACUUCUCAACAAAUGUGUCGUGAUUAUCAUCAGCAUUCUGAGAUCUUGCAGGGUAUCAAUCGAAUGCAUGUUGAGAAAUACCAUCCUUUCCCCUCGAUGAAUUGUAUUAUCAUCGACAUCCUUGUUGCCUUCCCUCCAACGCAAACGUGUUCGUGUUUUGUGUUGUCCUUUGAGUUCCUUGCAAAUUCAGCUUAUGUUAUCUUCUACCUUGGAGUAUUACCAUCUUUUAUGUCAAGAAUUUCUUGAGCAUUGUUGCACCUCUUAAAGAAUUCUUGAUAUAGUGAUACUUCUCGCCAUCACCAUCCAUUUCUUUGUCUCGUGUUAUUUCAAACUGGAACACCAACAAGUGAACUUUGAUGUGUGAUCCCAAUACUUCUGGCAACCCUAUUGCCUUGAGGUUAACAACUGAUUGUUUCAUUCUUGGUGUGUUGGUUGUUGACUCACCAUUCUAGCAUUGGUCGUCCUACUCAUUCCGUAUUUUAGAGUGCACCCUUCGACCAAUGUUUAAUUGUUGAUGUUCCCUCGAACAUACACCAUCAUAUCAUUUGAUCCGACAAAUGCUACCUCCUUGUUCUUAUAAUUUUGGACAUUCAUCCCUAUCAAAAUCUUGAGGGAUUGUUGCUGAGCCCAUCGGCCACACUCUCAACUUCUCCAUGUUUCAUAAUGAAGCUCUUGAAAGCAUUAUCUUUGUGACUAGCUCAUGAAGAACAUGUUUGGUCGAAGAAGUGUUUUCCCAAGGUCCACGUGCAUUCUUGCCGCCAUGAAUCUGAGAAAAUUUUGUUUCACUGCCUCUGGGGUUAUCCCAAAUCAUUCACGCAUGUGCGAAGUGUUAUAUGCUUUGAAGAUUUACUAUCUCCACUUCAUAUAAC
rnacentral:lncRNA from 1 species